rnacentral:rRNA from 1 species
CAAUAGCGUAUAUUAAAGUUGUUGCGGUUAAAAAGUUCGUAGUUGGAUUUCUGCCAAGGACGACCGGUCCGCCCUCUGGGUGAGUAUCUGGCUUGGCCUGGGCAUCUUCUUGGAGAACGUUGCUGCGCUUCACUGCGUGGUGCGGUAUCCAGGACUUUUACUUUGAGGAAAUUAGAGUGUUUCAAGCAGGCUUCCGCCUUGAAUACAUUAGCAUGGAAUAAUAAGAUAGGACCUCGGUUCUAUUUUGUUGGUUUCUAGAGCUGGGGUAAUGAUUAAUAGGGAUAGUUGGGGGCAUUCGUAUUUAACUGUCAGAGGUGAAAUUCUUGGAUUUGUUAAAGACGGACUACUGCGAANGNAUUUGGNAAGGAUGUUUNCAUUG